rnacentral:lncRNA from 1 species
AGGGGCGUCCCACCUUGCAAUAAGCUUCUUUUAGGAACUCGCAAUAAUCGAUAUAUAGCUCUCAUUCUAAGAGGUUGUUAUUUGCAACGGCAUUCUCACAAGGUGGAUUAUUUCAAGACCCAUACUUUGAGUGGGUCAUGAUUGUGUUAAACUGUUGUGGAUCAUCUUUAAUGAUGCAAUCAUUGAAAAUACCUCUAGCCGGUUCCAAGAAAACCCAGAUUUGUUU